GUGAAUCAUCGAAUUUUUGAACGCAUAUUGCACUCUUUGGUAUUCCGUAGAGUAUGCCUAUUUGAGGGUCAUUUGAACUUAUAUAAAUUGCUAGAUUUCUCGGGUUUUAAAAUGGUGUGUCCAUUAUUUUUGGUCGCCUAAAAUCCAAGACAAGCUCAUGAUCUUGGGUUGCGUGAUACUUUCAGUUACCUAGUGACUUAACCAGCAAUCAUCGAGCGCGUUUUGAA
rnacentral:misc_RNA from 1 species